GGGGAAUAUUGCACAAUGGGCGAAAGCCUGAUGCAGCAACGCCGCGUGAGUGAUGACGGUCUUCGGAUUGUAAAGCUCUGUCUUUUGGGACGAUAAUGACGGUACCAAAGGAGGAAGCCACGGCUAACUACGUGCCAGCAGCCGCGGUCAUACGUAGGUGGCAAGCGUUGUCCGGAUUUACUGGGCGUAAAGGAUGUGUAGGCGGAUACUUAAGUGAGAUGUGAAAGCCCCGGGCUUAACCUGGGGACUGCAUUUCAAACUGGGUAUCUAGAGUGCAGGAGAGGAAAGCGGAAUUCCUAGUGUAGCGGUGAAAUGCGUAGAGAUUAGGAAGAACAUCAGUGGCGAAGGCGGCUUUCUGGACUGUAACUGACGCUGAGGCAUGAAAGCGUGGGGAGCAAA
rnacentral:rRNA from 1 species